rnacentral:rRNA from 1 species
GAUGAACGCUGGCGGCGUGCCUAAUACAUGCAAGUCGAGCGAACGGACUAUAAGCUUGCUUCUCUGAUCUUAGCGUCUGACGUGUGAGUGACACAUUGAUAACCUACUUAUAAGACUGGUAUAACUUCGUGAAACCUGAGCUAAUACCGUAUAAUAUUUUGAACUUCAUUAUUCAAAAGUGAAAGAUUGUCAUGCUCUCACUUAUAGCUAGAUCCUCGCUCUAUUUGCUAUUUGGUAAGGUAACGGCUUACCAAGGCAACGAUCAAUAGCCGACUUGCGAGGGGGACGGGCAAAACUGGAACUGAGAAACGGCCAAGACUCCUAGGGGAGGAAGAAGUGGGGAAUUUUCGGAAAUGGGAGAAAGCCUGACGGAGAAAGGCCGCGUGAGUGAUGAAGGUCUUCGGAUCGAAAAACUCUGUGAAUAGGGAAGAAGAUAUGUGGAAGUAAAUGUGCACAUUGUGACGGUACCUAAUCAGAAAGCCACGGCUAACUACGUG